AGCUUUGCGCAGUGGCAGUAUUAUAGUCAAUGAGGUUUAUCUGAGGUGCGACUAUUGCUAAUUGAAAACUUUUCCCAGCACCCCUCCAUGACAACUUGAAAUGUUGCCGGCACUGGCAAUUUUUAACAGUCUCUACGGAGG
ensembl:snRNA U4 U4 spliceosomal RNA